UGCUUUAUUAAAAUAAAAAUAAAUCAGUUAAAUCACGCAAGCGCUAGAACUUCAUAAAAUUUUUAAGUAACGCAUUUUUAAUGAAGUUUUUUUUCAAUUACUAAUCAAGUCUUUUUACAACAACUAAUAGACACGUUCCAUCUAAUUUUUAUUUUUGUUAUCAAUUGAAAAUUGUGUUAAUAUUGAUACAGGAAAACCUGUUAAUGAUCAUGGAACAAUUAUCCUGAUAAUUCUUUGAAUUCAAUGUCUUUACUCGACAACAUUAUGCUAUUUUAUAAUGGAACCAGUACAUUAGUUAAUGAUCUUCUUGAAAUAUUGCCAAAUCAAGGUUUGGAACUUCCCAAAGAUUCAAGGAGAAUUUUAAAAGCACCUUAUGAAAAGCAACUUAUAGACAGGAGCGUCAACCAUCAAGUGUCAGUUGAUACAUAUGUUUUGGUCAAAUACAUGUUUGUAU